GGUAGAGCACUUCCUUGGUAAGGAAGAGGUCACCGGUUCAAUCCCGGUCAUCAGCU
rnacentral:tRNA from 1 species